ACCAAGUCUGAUGAUCUUGC
rnacentral:misc_RNA from 1 species